rnacentral:SRP_RNA from 1 species
GCCAGGUGCGGUGGCACGUGCCUAUAGUCCCAGCUACUCGGGAGGCUGAGGUGGGAGGAUCGCUUGAGCCCAGGAAUUCUGGGCUGUAGUGCGCUAUGCCGAUCGUGUGUCCGCACUAAGUUUGGCAUCAAUAUGGUGAGCCUCCGGGAGCAGGGGACCACCAGUUUGCCUAAGGAGGGGUGAACUGGCCCAGGUCGGAACCGGAGCAGGUCAAAACUCCCGUGCUGAUCAGUAGUGGGAUCGUGCCUGUGAAUAGCCACUGCACUCCAGCCUGGGCAACAUAGCCAGACCCCGUCUCU